UAGGGAAUCUUCCACAAUGGGCGAAAGCCUGAUGGAGCAACGCCGCGUGUGUGAUGAAGGGUUUCGGCUCGUAAAACACUGUUGUAAGAGAAGAAUGACUUUGAGAGCAACUGUUCAAUGUGUGACGGUAUCUUACCAGAAAGGAACGGCUAAAUACGUGCCAC
rnacentral:rRNA from 1 species